GCUUAGUGACAGUGUACAACCAAGGCCCUCAAAGACUGAAAGCUCUUGAUACCAUUUGUUGGAACACUGGCAGCAACAACCAAACAAUGAAACACUAAGAGCAUAAGCUCUUCAAACAGCAAGCAGAAACACAAAGCAUCAAGAGCAUAAGCUCUCGGUUAACAGGCAGAAAAAAGAAAAAGAAAGAACAAUGGCAGCAGCUCUUAGAAAAAGAACAAAACAGAGAACAAAGGAGGAAGAAACAAAAAUAAUUUACUUGCUCACAAACGUGCAGCAAGGAAGCAAUCUAAGUUUCACAACUGAUAUGCUUAAUUUUUCAAUAAGAAAAACAAUACAUUUAUAGCUAACUACAUCAGUUAUUACUACCUAAUACCACUAAGUAGCCUAGUAACUUUAAAAACAUUGCUUGUACACAUGGAUAAGCUGACUUAUCAGCUCAACCAACCCAUCAAAACAUCAACAUCAAAGUUCAUUCUCAACCAAACUAAAUUACAGAAUCAUUAUAGUACCAUGCAUUUUAACAAAAACAUAAUAGCAGCAUGGUUGGCCAUUUUCAACACUCCUCCUUGGACUCCAUGCUGCAAUACCAGUCAUUCAUCAAGUUUUUUGAACUUGGCAGCUCUUAGAUGCUUUGAUUCAAGCUGACCAAUUCAUUUUCAACCUUGGCCUCAUUCACAAACAACAAAUCUGACUUACACACUUGACUAUCCCAGUCUUUUGUGUCAAAGAUUUGUUCACCAAAUGGAGUCUUCUCCUCCUUCACAGCCUUGGUUGACAACACAUCUUGCCUUGUUUCUUUGCUUCUUCUUGCACAAACAGUUCGUGAGUAUAGUUUGCUUGCCUUCAUUCUGCCAUUUUGGCUUGCAAUUCGACAGGCUCACACUUUGCUUACUGUCUUCAAUAGGCUUGCAACUAUUCAACACACAUUGAGCUUCCACAUGUUGCUGAACUCACACCUUUGACAGACUCACAUCUUUGCAUAUUGUCUUCAACAGGUGUCUUCAACAGGCUCGCACUUUGCUAAGCUUGCAGCUUUGACAUCUUGCUAAGCUUGCACAUUUGGAAAGCUCACACCUUUCCUUGAAACUCCUCCUUUAGCUUAUUCAAGCUUGUUUGGAGGUCUCAUAAGUUUGAGCCGAUGUUGAGCAGGGGAAGCAAAAUCAAUGGUCCCUUAAGACUUAGGCUCAUGAUACCAUUUGUUGGA
rnacentral:lncRNA from 1 species